rnacentral:rRNA from 1 species
CCUACGGGCGGCAGCAGUGAGGAAUAUUGGUCAAUGGACGAGAGUCUGAACCAGCCAAGUAGCGUGAAGGAUGACUGCCCUAUGGGUUGUAAACUUCUUUUAUAUGGGAAUAAAAUGUUCCACGUGUGGGAUUUUGUAUGUACCAUAUGAAUAAGGAUCGGCUAACUCCGUGCCAGCAGCCGCGGUAAUACGGAGGAUCCGAGCGUUAUCCGGAUUUAUUGGGUUUAAAGGGAGCGUAGGUGGCUUGUUAGGUCAGUUGUGAAAUUUUGCGGCUCAACCGUAAAAUUGCAGUUGAAACUGGCAGUCUUGAGUACAGUAGAGGUGGGCGGAAUUCGUGGUGUAGCGGUGAACUGCUUAGAUAUCACGAAGAACUCCGAUUGCGAAGGCAGCUCACUGGACUGCAACUGACACUGAGGCUCGAAAGUGUGGGUAUCAAACAGGAUUAGAUACCCCUGUAGUC